rnacentral:tRNA from 1 species
AGCGUAGUUUAAUUCAAAGCAUAGCACUGAAGAUGCUAAGAUGGGUCUUAAAAACCCCCGCAUGCA